ACCAACAAGUCGAGCAGAUACGAAAGUAGGACUUAGUGAUCCGGCGGUGGAAUAUGGAAUCGCCGUCGCUCAACGGAUAAAAGGUACUCCGGGGAUAACAGGCUUAUCUUGCCCGAGAGUUCAUAUCGACGGCAAGGUUUGGCACCUCGAUGUCGGCUCAUCACAUCCUGGGGGUGGAGAAGCUCCCAAGGGUUCGGCUGUUCGCCGAUUAAAGUGGUACGUGAGCUGGGUUCAGAACGUCGUAAGACAGUAGACGAAUACAGCUGUCUAUAAAAUUGGCUAUAUGCUGGAAAAUCUGAGUAUCCUAAACUACCUCUUAAAAAAGUUGAAAAUUUUUGAAAGAAAACUUCAACUUCAUGUGUCUAUAUAUUAAGGGGUGAUAAUGUUAUGGGUGCAGACAAUCAGCAGGAAAGGCCUAGGGAAAGCCUAAGCCAUUACAUCGUAGGUUUUGUUGAUGGAGAAGGAACUUUUCAUGUUGCGAUACAAAGACGUAAGGAUUUACCAAAUGGAUUUCAGCUAAUUCCUGAAUUUCAUAUCUCGCAGCAUAAAGAGAAAUCCUCUAUUUUAGAAAAGAUUAAAGAUUUCCUUGGAUGUGGUUAUCUAAAACUGAAUCAUCCAGGAAGUACUCGCGAUGUUACAAAAGUAUACAUAGUGAGGAAUCGACAAGACCUGUUGGAGAAAAUAAUUCCUUUCUUUGAAAAAUAUCCAUUGAUUUCAGAAAAACGGCAAGAUUUUCUGAAAUUUGCUCAGAUUGUUAAAUCAAUGGGACAAGGUAGACACUUAAGCAGAAAGGGAUUAGUUGAUCUUACGAGAUUAGCUUUUUCAAUGUAUAGUAAUGGCAGAUACAGAAAGUUGAAAUUAAAAAUAGUGCUUUCUUUAAUGGAAUCCUCAGAGACUGUACGCCAGUUGCCGAAAGGUAAAGAUACAGUCCGAGCUGCAUGGCGACAUGCAGAGGUUUCCGCCACAAAGCGUGGCGGAUCCGUCAAGUAUUUUGACGGAAGCAGAAAUGACUAACCCUCCGUUCCAGUCAGAGGCUGGUUAGCCGAUGGCUGAUAAGGCGGAAGCAACAAAUCUGUCGGUCUCUAUCUGUUACACGCGCAGGAUAUCUGAAGAGAUAUGUCCGUAGUACGAGAGGACCCGGAUAUACGAACCAAUGGUGUUCCAGUUGUCACGCCAGUGGCAUUUGCUGGGUAGCUAAGUUCGGAAAGGAUAAGCGCUGAAUGCAUAUAAGCGCCAAGCCCCCUCUAAGAUUAGAUAUCCCUCCCCCUCGUGGGGAUAAGGCACCUUGUAGAUAACGAGGUUGAUAGGCUGGAGGUGUAAGACCCGUAAGGGUUUCAGCUGACCAGUACUAAUCUGCCGAACGGCUUGACCAC
rnacentral:rRNA from 1 species